rnacentral:rRNA from 1 species
UGCUGCAUGGCUGUCGUCAGCUCGUGUCGUGAGAUGUUGGGUUAAGUCCCGCAACGAGCGCAACCCUCAUCCUUAGUUACCAACAGGUAAUGCUGGGCACUCUAAGGAAACUGCCAGUGAUAAACUGGAGGAAGGUGGGGAUGAUGUCAAGUCAGCACGGCCCUUAUAAGGUGGGCUACCCACGUGCUACAAUGGCAACUACAAUAGGUCGCGAGUC